CAGUAGCCGCGGUAAAACGUAGGUGGCAAGCGUUGUCCGGAAUUAUUGGGCGUAAAGGGCUCGCAGGCGGUUUCUUAAGUCUGAUGUGAAAGCCCCCGGCUCAACCGGGGAGGGUCAUUGGAAACUGGGAAACUUGAGUGCAGAAGAGGAGAGUGGAAUUCCACGUGUAGCGGUGAAAUGCGUAGAGAUGCGGAGGAACACCAGUGGCGAAGGCGACUCUCUGGUCUGUAACUGACGCUGAGGAGCGAAAGCGUGGGGAGCGAACAGGAUUAGAUACCCCCGUAGUCCCUGUCUCUUAUAC
rnacentral:rRNA from 1 species